rnacentral:rRNA from 1 species
GACGAACGCUGGCGGCGUGCUUAACACAUGCAAGUCGAACGGUGAUGCUCCAGCUUGCUGGAGUGGAUCAGUGGCGAACGGGUGAGUAACACGUGAGCAACCUGCCCCAGACUCUGGAAUAAGCGCUGGAAACGGCGUCUAAUACUGGAUACGAAACUGGCCCGCAUGGGCAUGGUUUGGAAAGUUUUCCGGUUUGGGAUGGGCUCGCGGCCUAUCAGCUUGUUGGUGAGGUAAUGGCUCACCAAGGCGACGACGGGUAGCCGGCCUGAGAGGGCGACCGGCCACACUGGGACUGAGACACGGCCCAGACUCCUACGGGAGGCAGCAGUGGGGAAUAUUGCACAAUGGGCGAAAGCCUGAUGCAGCGACGCCGCGUGAGGGAUGACGGCCUUCGGGUUGUAAACCUCUUUCAGCAGGGAAGAAGCGAAAGUGACGGUACCUGCAGAAGAAGCACCGGCUAACUACGUG